CUGAAUACUUUCUCAUACUCACAAUUCCUUCAGGAUCUCAGAAGUUCUGUGCUUAAAAUCAGCAGUUUUCUUGAGAGACAACUGAAUGAAGAGGAUGUGGAAGCUGUUGUUAAACAGGCAACAUUUGAGAACAUGAAGUUUGAUCCACAAGCAAAUUAUGAGCAAAUUCUAAAACAUGACUUGGGGAGAAGAACAGACAAGGGAAGUUUCUUGCGCAAAGGUACCAUUGGAGACUGGAAACAUCACCUGACUGUGGAGCAAAAUGAGAGAUUUGAUAGAAUAUUCCAAAGGAAGAUGAAAGACUUUCCCUUGAAGUUCAUCUGGGAUCUAAAUGAGGAAUAGAAUUAGUGCAAAAUAAACAUAGAGAAAAUGCACUAACUAGAGAGCAUAUUUUAAUAUGCAUAUUAACUUGUGCUUCUCAUCUGUGUUAAUUAUAAAAUUUUAUUAAUUUAAAAAAAUGAGAAAAUUAGACUUACAAUGGUUGCCAUGAGUUGGAUGAAUACUUUGAAAUUUUAAAAGUUAAAAUGAUUUGGGAGAGAGUCUGAACUGGUUGCCUGUAUGAUAGAGGGAAAAAACAGAGAGCAUGCAACAUGAAUGGUAAAUAUCUUCAAAGACUUUUCUGUAGUGUGUAUUUUUUCUUUCUCUACGAUUAAAUUUAGGAUCAAUCGAACAUCAAAAUCCCUUUAUUCUUGUAAUUAAACUUUAAUGCUUUGGUUCAAAUCAAUGUACAGAAAUCAGACAUAAACACUUGCAUCUGUUUAAUAAUUUACCAGAUGGCAAAGUUUGCACUAAAGAUCAAGGAUCACAAAUAGAUUAACCAUCUAAUGGUUAAAUCAUUAAUUAUUUAGAUGAAGAAAUAUAGCUGUGUCCACAACAUAUCAUUCACUAAACUAAUUUUAUAUGUAUUUAUAACUAAGUAUUUAAGAUAAAAUCAUUUUGAAUAACUAGAAAAAUAUAUAUGAAUCUGUUAAUAAUUCCAAAAUAGAAAAAACUUUUGAAACAUAAAGGCAAUAUAAGAAACUUUAAAAAAAGGUCAUUGUAAAUGUAAUUAGUUAUAUUUAAAUACUGGAGUGUGGUGGGCUCUUAAUCCAAUAAAACUGAUGUUAGAAGAGAAAAAAGACACAGGAUGGAGGCUGUGAUGUCACAACAGAAGCUGAGUUUGGAGUGAUGCAUCUAUAAGCCAAAGAUGCCAGCAAACUCCAAGAACCUAGAAGUAGCAAGCAAUGAUUCUCUCCUACAGGUUUCAGAGGGGGCAUGGCUUUACUGACAUCUUGGUUUUGGACUGCUAGCCUCGACAACUGUGAGACAAUAAAUUUCUGCUGUUUUCAACCACC